rnacentral:lncRNA from 1 species
UAUAUUUUUUGUCUGUCUGAUUGACACUUUCUUGUUUCUUGUUUUUGAAAAAUUUGUUCAAUAAUGGAAAUAUGAAGACGUGGAAAGAUAUGCAGAAAGUUGAGACAAGUUAUGUAAGGUCUAGAACAGUUCACACAAAGAAACAAGAUGAUUUAUACUAUGAGUAUAGUUUUUAAUCAAUUUCAUGCUAUGAGUGUAACAGAAAUAACAUAAUAAUAUGCAAGGAGUAUAGAUGCUAGGAGAGUAUAUUAUAUUCAUUGAUGUGGAUAUAAGCCCAACUAUAAAAUAAUUAGGACAGAGAAACCUGUUCCAUUCAUUGUCCCUCCAGACUGAUUUGCAAACUGUGAGAUCAAGGACAGCUUUCUAUCAGUUAUGUAUUGGAAAACACAUGCUGAACCAUGCAUCUGUAAAAACUACAAGAAAAAAAUGGUUGUAGAGAAAUUAAUGAGGUGCCACCCAAUAAAAUUUCAUGAGAUUCAAGAAUGUGAAGAUACAUGAGCAAUUUCAGAUGAUGCUGCAAGGUGUUUGGGAGAAAAUAAAAA